UUCCGGGGUAAUUAGAGCCGUCAUUGAGAGACCACUCUGGAAGAGCUAGAAUCCUAAUGGGGAUCCUUGAAUCAGGACCCUUGACAGUUUCAGGUGGGCAGUUUAUUUGGGGCGAAUGCCUCCUAAAAGGUAACGGAGGCGUGCAAAGGUUCCCUCAGUCUGGACGGAAAUCAGACAUUGAGUGUAAAGGCAAAAGGGAGCUUGACUGCAAGACCUACAAGUCGAGCAGGGGCGAAAGCCGGCCUUAGUGAUCCGACGGUGCCGCGUGGAAGGGCCGUCGCUCAACGGAUAAAAGUUACUCUAGGGAUAACAGGCUGAUCUUCCCCAAGACUUCACAUCGACGGGAAGGUAUGGCACCUCGAUGUCGGCUCAUCACAUCCUCGGUCUGUAGUAGGUCCGAAGGGUUGGG
rnacentral:rRNA from 1 species